CUGUUGAUGCUAGAGAAAGGCAGCAAAUCAGUUACGAGAUAGAGAGAGGAAGAGAGCCUCCAUCGAGGCUCCGGUAACGUAUCCGGGUCAUGAAACGCAUCAAUAGAUGGUACCGAGGAUGGCGAUCCUCGUGGUGAUGUUCGUUUCGCUAAUUGUAAAGCGUGUUGGUUCAAUCGACAUCACACCGUUGGCUAGGGUUCAUAACUCGAGGGGGAUAAUAACGCUGGUAUCGGUGGUGUUUGUUCAACCGAUUAUGGUUCGAUUGACACCACACACCGUCGGCUAGGGUUCAUAGGUUGACAUCUGAGGUCCAAGUGAUGGUUGCUCCGACGAAGGGUGAACCAAUUUGAGGCAAUCCUCGAUUGUUAAGGGACUGUGACGGUGGUUCUCGGUGACUAGACGACUUGAACCACCAGAGGCUUAAGAACCGUUUGUGUGGAAAAAUGAUCAUUGCAUUCUGCUAUCUACGAAUCGUUUCUGUAGCUGCGCCGCAGCUGGGGGUUUUCGGCAGUGGCGAAGGUAUGGCGAUGAGGAAACACCGAAAAUUGAUAGGCUGAUUGAUGGAGAUUUGGGCAAAAACACGAUAAAUGGAAUCCAUUGACGUGGUGAUUAGAUCUGUGGCUUUGAUUACGAGGAAUGGGUUUGAAUGCUAGGGAACAAAAUUCUUAUUUGGAUUUGUGAGGCAUAGAUAGUUAUCAUCUUCCCCUGAAGCAAUUUCUUAUUUCCUCGAUUCGUUAUCUACGCGUUCUUGAAUCGGAUAGGAACACUACAAAGGAUUUCAAGAAAACUAGAAUUGUGCCUAGAAGCAUCGAAAUAGAGGUGAGGAACUUAGCAAAUUUAAUCCUCUAAAGGCACAGAAAGAGGCUGAGCCGUUUGUCUCUAUGAAAUUCUGGACUAUAAAGUGGCUUCACACUUCGCUCGCCUCCCUUCCGGUCGCCUUUGAGGUUUGUAUAAAUGAGGGGAAGGGUUAUUUUGUGUAGACAUUAACCUGUCUUGAAUCUGCUUUCUUAGUUUUAUUUGACUACCUUUGUAUACCUUUAAACAGAUUGUCCAUAAGUGUUUUGGCAUAAUGUUUUAAUACUUUCUAGCCUGUAUUUAAAGUUGUAUUGAUUAUCUCA